rnacentral:lncRNA from 1 species
ACCCUCCUAACCCAUUUUAUGUGGUUUUUAUUAAAAUCCAACCCUCCCGGUGGCAGCUCUGACCUUCCCCGAUUCCCCUCUGGAGCACACACCUUCCGCACCCGCGCUCUCCCUGCGGGCAUCCCGCUUCCUGCGCGGCCGCGGAGCGGGGUCAGGCUCUGCCGGCACCUCUGCUGCACUUUUAGGGUGGUCAGUGUUAUUUCAGCGCUCAGGCGUUAAGAGAGAGCAAAGAGUAGAUUUUGUUGCAAAACCAGCACUCAGAGAAGGGCUGUGGCCUCAGUGUCAUUUCUCCUUUCCACCCAGCUCAGCAGCAAUGUUUUCAGUCAAGAAUGGUGAUGGACACGGGGUAUCAACUACAGGGGCUCUCACGAACUUCCCAAUAACAAACCAGGUUUGUGUCCAAUUCACUCUGGAUUUGAACUGGUUGAAAUUCUUUGAAAAUCUGCUUUGAAUGCUGCCAGUGAGAAUAAACUUCGCAGUUGAGGAUUAUUGACA